GAGGGUGGUGGGAGGGGGGUUUUAAGAGAGAAGGAGAAGAAAGGAAGUGGAGAGAGUGAAUUUCGGCAAUUAUUUAUGAAAGUUUGGCCCUGCUGAGAAGGCCGGAGACAGAGCACCAUGUGUCCUCACCAUAUUGGAUGGCACAGAUGCAGAACAUCUCCAUCACCCCAGGAAGUUCUAAUGGACAGUGCUGCUGACACUUCACUGUCAUGCUUCGCAAAGCUACUGUGAGACAAAUGAAAUACCUUUACUUGAUUUUGCUCGUCUUUCAUCUUUAUUGUCUAAUUCUAAAUAUUCUCUCUAAUCCCCCUUGAGCACUCCACCGAGUCCCAGGAGGGUGGGCCUGGGAUUGACCCCCUGGCCCUGCAGGGCACCCAGCCCACAGGACAGACACCACGACUGUGCUGACAAAGACUGAUGCUGACAUUCUCCCCAAGUCCAGGAGGCAGCAGCUCGGAAGCCAUCUGCGGCAACAGCACCGGGGUGGGAAGUGAACAGCCUGGAUCUCCAAGUCUGCUGUAUUUUUGCCAGAUCUGUCAGAAGUAGACAGAAGCAGAAAAGAUAAAGGGAUAAAUCAAGAAAUGAAGUGAGGGGACGAGAGUACUAAGGCUAAAGACGCUAAAAACGCGUGAUGGAAUUCUCUUCUAGUUCUUCCGGGCCCAAGCGGAUCCUGCAAAUCCACGAAGGAGAGACUUCAUGUGCCAUUCCCAUAGUGGGAGGAAUUUCGGAGUCACUCACUCUCUUCAAACACCCACCAGGCAUGAAUUUAUAAUCCUGGAUCGGAUUAUGUGUUAAAACGACAUCCUCCUGAUGACGAACGCUCUAGAAUAAGUGGUGGAAUCAGGUGUGGCUUUAAAGAAGAAAAGGAGAAGAAAAAGAAAUGGGAAAAAAAGGAAGAGGCCAUGGGUGACUCUCUCCUCAUUUGGUCCUAUGAAUACCUCCUCCUUUGUCCUCAUGCUCGAUAUUUAGAAGCCCCUACUCUAGUACUUAUCCUUCCUCAGGAUUCCUAUAUGCCUACAGGAGUUCUGUGAGGACCCAUACAACUUUUGGCAUUCAUUCUGACCUCACACCCAUCGAGGCCACCAAAUUUCCACACCAUCUAAAUGUAACAAGUUUGACCUGCACAGCUUUUCUGCCCAUGUUUCUCCAGCUCUUUGUGUAAUUUAGGAAGUAAAAUCUUCAGAACAUUAUAAAAUACUCAGGUGAUUCAGAGGUACAGUUUUGCAAGGCCUGGCUUACCUCAUAUGAGCAUUAUAUUAAAGUACGGGCUCUGAACUCUUGGUCUUUAAUUUGAAACUUUUGUAGCAGCUUCAACGCCUCCUUCCCAGAAAGAAUGGUGGCCUUGCUCCAAACUACACUAUAUGUCUUCUAAGUAUCCAGGAUUGUUUUGGUUUCCUACAGCUGAGGGGCCACUCUGUGAACUGCUGUUGGCCAAGCCUGCUGUGAGGAAAACAGGAUUCAGCCUCUGGGGUACCACAAAAAGGGCCAAGGAGCUUGAAAGCCACUUAGAGAAGAGGCUCGGUGAAAAGUGGCAGGCCUCCCUGAGAUUCCUGGUCCUUCCCUAUUGGGACACAAAUGAUAUUGGAAGCCUGUGCUUAGAGUUUCUCAGGGGCCUGGCACUCUGUUCUGUCAUCCCAGUGACUCACAUGAUAAUUUCCCAGGCCUUCAAACUGGGUCAACAAGCUUUGUUUGUCUAGAGAGCUCCCCUGGGAGGCCACUCUAAGAAAAGCAGGCGGAAUGGGGAUGUUUGGCCAGGUGAUUCUUUUUGCUGGCUUUCCGCCUGAGGAAAUAUUACCAGUAUUCAGGCCAGGAGUUGGGAGAAUUAAAAGCUGCCCAACAUCUGGGUUGGAUCAACAGUCACCGGUGUUAUUAGUUAAGAGUUAACCACGCUGCUAAUGGUGGUUCUCGCCAUGAGAGAAACUUAGGAAGGUUCUUCUAGGUAAAAAAGACAGCAAGCUGGCACGAUGAAGCUGGUCGUAGAAGAGAAGCUUCCAUUAACUCUGUGAAUGUCACCUGACCAGUUUCUUUCUAUAGUCAAGUGUGGAGUCAGCCUGGGUCAGUACUUCUCAAAUUUGAGCUGUCACAGACCCCAACAAUGUAUCUGAAGACUUAACAGACCUGAAUUUUUUAACUUAGAAUGAAAAGUUUCUCAAAGCAGCGUUGUUCAUAAUGGCUAGGAAGUGGGAACGAAAUCAAAUGUCCAUCACCUGAUGAAUGGAUAAGCAAGGGGAUACAAUGAAAAAAUGUUCCAUCUUGCAAAAGAACAAAGUGUUGAUAUAUGUCACAGCAGAUGAAUCUUGAAAAUGUCAUAAAUGAAAGAGGACAGACACAAGAGGCCAUUCCAUUUAUGUGCAAUGUCCAGAAGAGGGAAAUCCAAAGAGACAAAGUGAUGUAUGGUGAGGACUUUUCAAUAAGGUACUUUCCAAAGACAAAGCCUAACCAGGAACACCUUGGGAUUUGCUUGUGUCAAAUUACUCCAUCUAUACUCCAGGUAGUUGAUAAAAUAUGGGCCCUUUGAGGAUGAAAAUGCACAAGCCCCAGGAUGGGAUGAAAAUGGAGUUCAAUACCAGGUAAUCUAACAUGGAAAAUCCUCUGAGGAAGGCCUCCACUGGAGUCUUAAUUGGGGCAUGGAUUGACCACCCCUGCUUUACACACUGUGACCUUCCAUUAAGGGUUUCUAGCAAUGGAAUAAAUGCUGCUUAUAUGAGAGGGGAAGGCCAGUGGGUAUUUAUGAGAGCAAGGGGACUUACCUAUAGUCUGCUUGGACAUGGGCAAAAGUGAAGGGUUAUAGGGUAUGGUUCAUAGUGAACCAGAUGAAUUCAGUUCAUCAAAUCUUUACCAAGCACCUCUUCCCUACACAUUAUACAGUGAGCUGGUUCUGGAAAGUGUGACCCCUGCCUUUGGGGAGCCAACAGCCUGGUAGGGGAGACUGUUAUGCUGAGUGUCGUGGGAAGAAACUUUAUGUUUAAAGGACUUUGAUAAUUAUUGAGUGUUAGAAAAACAUAUGGUAAUAAUCUAUCCUGAUUAUCCAAUAUGCAUGAAUAGUUGGUCUGAUUCCUGGCUCUGGGUAUUUGUCUAAUAAGAAUAUUUUUGUAGAAUUAAGCAUUAAGGCACUUACUGGAUAUCAUUUACAUGAAUACUGACUGAAUUUACCAUCUCCCAUAAGGACAUUUUUGUGUUGUGCCCACUAGGUGUCUCAUUAUUUUGCAAGAAAAUGGAAAACACAAUGUUUCUUCCUGUGUCAGGAGUCAGCUACAGAAAACAUCCAGCUCACUGGGCUAAAAUCUCAGCCCCAUGCUAAAGCAACCACUGUAUAAAAUGCCCACUGUGUAGUCGCCUCUCAUUUGAGAAGAAGGAAUGGAAGAUGUCUCUGUGGAUUCUCUUUCUCAUAAGCCAUGUACCUACAAACUGCUCUCCUAAAAAAGCCAGGACUAAUAAUAUGAAGUAGGAAUUCUUCCGCAAAGUGGACACUGAGACCUACAGGCUGUAGCACUAUUAUUUCCACCGGUUUCCUGGGCUAGAGUUUAGCUGUCAUCUGCAGGUAAACUGACACCCCCAAACCACAUCAGACUGUGUGCCCAGGCAGGUGUGUUCUUCCCUAUUCAUUGGUGUCAAAGAAAUUGUUUUCGCAAUAAAAUCCAGGGUCUCUUCCGGCACUGGAAAUUUCAAGUUUGUAAAUGAUAUACAAGUGUUUAUCCCAAUAUUUUCGCCUUUGUCGUGAAUGACUUUUCUUUCAAUGGUCUAUGGCAGCACACUUUGCCUCUGAGUGACAUCAGAGAGAAAAAGGCACCAGAAAACAAAUAGGAAACCGAAUGCCUUCAAAAUUCGACUGCAACUU